ACUUGGUAAAUUUCAGUUGUUAAGUAUCUUGUAGUAUUAAAAGAUUUAAUACUAUUGCUUUUCCUUAGAAUAUAUUAAAGCAAUAGUAUUGUUUCUGCUUACAAUAUUGUAAAUAUUGGUUUCAGUUAGCAUAAACAUCUAAUUUUUUGCUCUUAGACCACUAAGAGAGAUACAAGUGGUGGAUUUCAGAGAACUUCCUGAACCAUUGAAAAGCAGGAGAAAGUACGCUUCUGUAAUCCUGUCACAUCUGUUCUAAAGGAUUCCAGGGACUCUGACCUGCGACUCAAAAAACUGACAUCACAAGGCACCAAACUUCCCCGAAAGCUGAGGAAAAAUAAGCACCUUCAAGAAGAGAAAAGACAAAAGCACUGACCUUGUGGCAAAGCACAGGAGGAAGGGAAAGCUACUAUGCAAGUAAGCAAGAAGGAUCCAGGAAGAGAGAGAGGAAUGUAAGAGAAGACAGUCACUAUGUUGAAGAGAAGUUUAGAGGACUGCCCAGAGUAAAGAAAUCCCCUUCCAAGUGUUUCUCCUGCAGCCUUGGCAAAAAUAUACACAUCAGGGAUACAGACUUCUUCAAUGACUUGUUUACUUGGAAGAAUGUUUAAGCCAAGCACAGUGGUACACACCUCUAAUCCCAGCACUUGGGAAGCUGAGACAGUAGGAUCACUGCGAUUUUGAGGCCAGCCUGGGCUACAUAGUGAUUUCAAGGCCAGCCUGUACUACAUUGUGAAACCUGUUUUAAAAAAGAAUGUUUAGUUUCUAAGUGUUUGGAAAUUUUCCUGUUAUCUUUCUAUUAUUGAUUUGUAGUUUAAUUCCAGUGUGGUCAGAGAACAUAUUCCAUAUGAUUUCAAUUUGUUCAGGUUUGUUUUAUGGUCUAUCAUUUUUCUUGAUAUCCAUCUAUCUUGGUGUAUCAAAUUCCAUGGGCACUUGAAAAGAAUAAGUAGUGUGUUGUCAGAGUGUUUAUAAAUGUUGAUUAGACCUUGUUGUUUGACAGCAUUGUUAGUUCUUCAUAUCUUUGCUGAUUUCCUACCUCCUUGUUGUAAACACUAUUGAGAGAAAAGUAUAGUGUUCUCAAAUUUGAUUGUGGACUUGCCUAUAUCUCGUUCCAAUUCUUUUUUUCUCCCCAUCAUAUAUGUUGCAGCUCUUUUUUGGUACAUAAACAUUUGGUAUUACUAAAUCCUUUUGGUGCAUUGACUUUUUUCAUUUAUAAUCUUCUCUGUGUCUGGUAAUUUCCUUUGCUCUAAUGUUAGUGUAGCUAUUUCUGCUUUUUCUUCACUAAAAUCUGUAUGCUAUAUCUUUUUCCAUUCUUUCACUUUCAAAUUGCCAAUGUCAUAUUUGAAGUGAGUUUCUUAUACACAGCAUACAUAUGGGCCACGUUUUUCAAUCUAUUCUGUCAAUCUCUGUCAUUUAA